rnacentral:tRNA from 1 species
GGGGCUAUAGCUCAUCUGGUAGAGCGGCUGGUUCGCAAUCAGCAGGUGGUGGGUUCGAGUCCCAUUGGCUCCAACA